GAUGAACGCUGGCGGCGUGCCUAACACAUGCAAGUCGAACGAAGCUUGACGGAUGAUUUCUUCGGAAUGAAACCAGAUAUGACUUAGUGGCGGACGGGUGAGUAACACGUGAGCAACCUGCCUUUCAGAGGGGGAUAACGGCUGGAAACGGUCGCUAAUACCGCAUGACGUGUUCGGAUGGCAUCAUCUGAACAUCAAAGAUUUAUCGCUGAAAGAUGGGCUCGCGUCUGAUUAGAUAGUUGGUGGGGUAACGGCCUACCAAGUCGACGAUCAGUAGCCGGACUGAGAGGUUGAACGGCCACAUUGGGACUGAGAUACGGCCCAGACUCCUACGGGAGGCAGCAGUGGGGAAUAUUGCACAAUGGGGGAAACCCUGAUGCAGCAACGCCGCGUGAAGGAUGACGGUUUUCGGAUUGUAAACUUCUUUUCUUAGUGACGAAGACAGUGACGGUAGCUAAGGAAUAAGCAUCGGCUA
rnacentral:rRNA from 1 species